UGCCUUCUUGUUGGGUUUUUUAGAUUUUUUGACUCUGCUCAGGACGAACGCUGGCGUCAUGCUUAAUACAUGCCAGUCGAACGCUUUUGUUUCACCGGGUGCUUGCACCCACCGAGACAAAAGAGUGGCGGACGGGUGAGUAACACGUGGGUAACCUGCCCAUAAGAGGGGGAUAACAUCCGGAAACGGAUGCUAAUACCGCAUAUUUCCAAUUGUCUCCUGACAGAUGGAAAAAAGGUGGCUUCGGCUACCGCUUAUGGAUGGACCCGCGGCGUAUUAGCUAGUUGGUGAGGUAAUGGCUCACCAAGGCGAUGAUACGUAGCCGACCUGAGAGGGUGAUCGGCCACACUGGGACUGAGACACGGCCCAGACUCCUACGGGAGGCAGCAGUAGGGAAUCUUCCGCAAUGGACGAAAGUCUGACGGAGCAAUGCCGCGUGAGUGAAGAAGGUUUUCGGAUCGUAAAACUCUGUUGUUAGAGAAGAACAAGGAUGAGAGUAACUGCUCAUCCCCUGACGGUAUCUAACCAGAAAGCCACGGCUAACUACGUGCCAGCAGCCGCGGUAAUACGUAGGUGGCAAGCGUUGUCCGGAUUUAUUGGGCGUAAAGCGAGCGCAGGCGGUUCUUUAAGUCUGAUGUGAAAGCCCCCGGCUCAACCGGGGAGGGUCAUUGGAAACUGGAGAACUUGAGUGCAGAAGAGGAGAGUGGAAUUCCACGUGUAGCGGUGAAAUGCGUAGAUAUGUGGAGGAACACCAGUGGCGAAGGCGACUCUCUGGUCUGUAACUGACGCUGAGGCUCGAAAGCGUGGGGAGCAAACAGGAUUAGAUACCCUGGUAGUCCACGCCGUAAACGAUGAGUGCUAAGUGUUGGAGGGUUUCCGCCCUUCAGUGCUGCAGCUAACGCAUUAAGCACUCCGCUGGAUCUCGACUGG
rnacentral:rRNA from 1 species